GUCGGCUUCAUGGAGCCGCAUUUCGACCGCCUUGCUAUGUCUGUGUUGUUGCACAAAAGUCUGUGUUUCCAUUAAAAUGUCUGAGACGCCCCUUUUAUCACACUCCCUCCUGCUCACACUUCCUUUGUUUGCCGUCAUUCUCAUUCAGGGACAACCAAACUCCCCAUCUGCUCAAACUGAGGUGUGUUUAGGUUUCCUGUCAUGUUGAUCAGGUGAAGGUCAACCUGAGCAAAGGCCUAAUUCAUAAGCAACAGUGCACUGUUGUUUCCAGUCAGCGCUGCUCCGUCCUGCAUGUCAGGGUGUCACCUGUGCUUCUACACUCCUCUGCCGCCUUCUUCUCUGCCCUCUUUUCCUUUCUCUCCUCCCUCUGUCUCGUAUCUUUUCUGAACUGACUCUCAUUCCUGCACACAGACACACACAAGUCCUCAAAGAGAAUGGACUAGAAGAGAAACUGGCUUUUAUCCUCCUGAGGAUUAUUUGUUUUUUCCUCCAUAAUUUUCACCUUUUCCACUCACUUUGCCUUGAGUUUUAAUCUCUCUUUUCACCUCUUUCUGCAUCUUUUCUCUCCAUCACUUCCAUCCUCUCACCCUCUGAACCGAUCAACUGAUUGAUUUAUUUCUUGUUCCAUUUGGUUUUGUUCAUUUUCCAUCUAACACAUUUCAUGUCCUACCGCUCACCGGUCAUUGCUUUGCUGCUUAUUUUGGGUUUUGGUGAUGUAAUUUUGUAACUUCUGCCAUUUAUUGAAACCCGAGUGGCAGGUUAUUCAUGAGCAGUUUUUGCGUUUUGGACAAAGAGGAUAUGUAGAGCUGACUGAAUAACUGUGUGUGAUGUGUGAGCUACAGAGAGACUCGGCUCUAGACAAAUGCAUAGCACAGUGAAGCAAACCACACAGCUCAUGCUCUUGUCCAUCUCCUUUUUUAUAUUUCCACUUUUUUCCUGAAGGAGAUUUAAUGACUUUCCUCUUCAUUACAUGAAGAUAAUGGGAAGUGGGACUUCUGAGCAGCCGUCACCCUGAUAAAGCCACUCUGGAUAAUGCCGUUUUCCUGUGGAAUUACCCUUUAAAUUUUUUUAUUUUAUUCCAAAAGAAAAAAAAAUUAAGAAUCAUAAAAAAUAACUUCUAAAUUCUGGACUGUUUUUGACAUUUUUGUAAUGGACAGAAGCUGAACUCACUAUUUCUUUUUCCACUAUUGAAUCUUAAUGGGAUUUUACUAACGUGGAUUAAAGACUCAAGCAACAUCUUAGUUGGUGUAAUAGCUGUGAUUCUGACCAUUUCUCCAGCCUUCAAAUAGAUUAAAAGUAAUCUGUCACUGUUAAGGGUUAAAUAGUAACAGACCAGCGCACGUCAGAAAAUCCACCGUCUUCAGAAAGGACGUGAAGCUGCUCUCGUGGAGAACAGUCGCCUCCAAACUGCCUCUUUCUGCUUUCGACCCAAACUGAUUUCCCUCAGUCUGAGGCUAUGAGAGGGAGAGAGGAGGCCCAGGCUGCACCAUCAUGCUGCUUCUGAGACACUGGGAUGAGACUCUGGCUGGCAAAACACAAGGUAUUACUCUCCCACUCCUCCACCAUGCCUGUCUGUGGCUGCCGCAGGAUGUCCCCACCUCGCGGCCUUGCCGGGACCUUUUCCUCCAAACCCUCGGUCACCCAGGAGCAAGAGAGACAAGUCCGACCCUCACAUCCACCUGCAUUGCUCCACCACCGCACCAGCUCCUGUCUAUGUCUCUCCCUCCUUCUCCUGCUGCUCUGCCUUCUCCACCUCC